ensembl:lncRNA
AGGCAGUACUGUUUAUCCUCUUUUGUUUCGCCGACAGCUGUUCGAUAUAAAUCACAACCAGACGAAAGAAACUUCUGGAUCUCCCUAGUGCAGUAUCAGAUGUUGUCUGCUGGUAGUGUGAAAUUGAGAAAUUUUACAUACUGAUAAAAUACCUGACGUAACGCGCAAAAAUAAAGAGAACGCGUUCAUAAACCCGUAUCGAAAUCCCACGCUUCUGUAGCGCUGAUUUUUACAGUGUUAUUGAACGUGAGGCUGUGGAGUUCAUGAAACUUUUAAACCGAGUAGUUAAUCUAAUUAGUCCACAAAAGAAUUGGGGCGGCUUAGAGGAGUCGAAUGGGAUUUUAUUAAAGACAAUGCUGCGCACACACUCUGCGAAACGAAAAGUGCACGAAACUAAGACGUGCGCUGACGGGAAACCAGGGUAGAGCAGGGUGUCACACCGCGGACCCCACCCCCCCGUCCCCCAAGUCUCCACCUGAGCCAGGUGCCCCACGUGACCCGCGCUCCGCCCCCUGCGUCACCUGGCCUCCCUUCGCAGUCUGGGGGGGACCGUGAGCGACCUUCUCACGAGGAUCAGGUGCACCUGGUUCUCCGGUCGCCGUAGCGGCAAGGUCACGCAAGCUGCGAGAUGGACUCGGUGUGAUCGUCGAAAGUACGAGACGAUCGAGAUCCGGGGACCGCGACGGGAGUGAAGAGGGGAAGGGCUCCUGGAGCGUACGUUGCCCGGAAUGGCAUCCGUGAGCUGAGCCCUUCUUGCACGGUCUUCCGGUUGGGUCUGCUGAAGAAAACAUCUCCGGGUCUCUGCCAUGCUGGAGCCGGGGGUUCCCGAAUGCACCAGUGGGCUUGAUGCCGACCAGGCUGGAACCAAUGCUUUGGAUUUCGAGGAUUUGCGUUUCCAGAGUGCCCUGGCACCGGACACCUCCUUCGGAGAGUGGAGCUCGUUCGGGAACGACGUCCACCCAAGCUUCAGUGACCACAGCACUUUGUCGCCUGCUUGUCUUCCCUCGAAACACCAGGAUGUGAAGAAUCCUCAUGUUUCAGGUGACCAGUUCACCUGCUCCAAAAAAAAGAUAUUUGAGUCAUCAGACCUGGAGCAGAUGUUCCACAGCUGCUUUCCUUGUGCGGGAGACUCAUCAGAAGUGCCAGCCACCGCAGAGGCAAGGCCCUUGUCGGAGUUGUUGUAUGGUGCACCAGGGAGCCCCGCCUCCUGUUCAGAAGUGUCACGUGCUGCAACCUUGUGGAGCCGCCUGCUGAUAGAACCCCGCUGUCCGGAGCUGUCCCGACCGAGCCGUCGUCCGCCACGCUCUCACUCGGCUCUGCUGUCCGCUCUCAGCAUCGCUCCCGCCGUUGUUGCCGCACAACAGGGGGCCCUCCCUGCUGAGAGAGACCCAGAGGAGAAUGACGGGGAGACGACGAGCCCUCGCACCGUCGCGCUCAUCCAGACUAAGCUUCUGCCGCCCCCCCAGUUUCGGGAAGGCCGAGGUUUCCUCUACCAGAUCUCCCACCAGUGGCUCUCCCAGUGCAGCCUGGGCCUCCAGGGCCGCAACCCCCAAAGAAGCUUCCUACCUUGAGCUCCACCUGCAAGCGUGGCUCUUCCCAAGCAGGAAUGAGGCAACUGCAACACACACACACAAUACUCACAAAACAAUACGUAUAAUACACACACGGCAUAACGCACACAUAGUAACAAGCUUCACAGUCACAGCAUGCAAAAGGUAAUGGGGCUCACACACACUUCAGUGUGUAUUUAUUAUGGUGUGCGUAACAGGCUUUGCACAGCAUAGUGUACACAGCUAAUGCACAGAGAAUAAAAGACCUCUUAUGCACA